rnacentral:rRNA from 1 species
GACGAACGCUGGCGGCGUGCUUAACACAUGCAAGUCGAACGAUGAAGCUGGAGCUUGCUCCGGUGGAUUAGUGGCGAACGGGUGAGUAACACGUGAGCAAUCUGCCCUUGACUCUGGGAUAACUGCGGGAAACUGUAGCUAAUACCGGAUACGACACCUUGGGGCAUCCCAGGGUGUGGAAAGAAUUUCGGUCAAGGAUGAGCUCGCGGCCUAUCAGCUAGUUGGUGAGGUAAUGGCUCACCAAGGCGACGACGGGUAGCCGGCCUGAGAGGGUGACCGGCCACACUGGAACUGAGACACGGUCCAGACUCCUACGGGAGGCAGCAGUGGGGAAUAUUGCACAAUGGGCGAAAGCCUGAUGCAGCAACGCCGCGUGAGGGAUGAAGGCCUUCGGGUUGUAAACCUCUUUUAGCAGGGAAGAAGCGAAAGUGACGGUACCUGCAGAAAAAGCACCGGCUAACUACGUGCCAGCAGCCGCAGUAA